UACCACGGCUGUCAGCCAAUCAGCAUUCAGGGCUCAAACCACCCAGGUUAUAUUUACAAUUAUUAACUGGGUGGUUUGAGCCCUGAAUAGUGAUUGGUUGAAAGCCGUGGUAUAUCAGACGUGUACGACGGGAAUGACAAAAACGUUUUACUGUGCUAAUUAUGUUGGUCACCAGUUUAUAAUAGCAAUAAGGCAUGUCAGGGGUUUGUGGUUUAUGGUCAAUAUACCACGGCUAAAGGCUGUGUCCUAAGUACAGUCCAUAUACCACACCUCAUCGUGCCUUAUUGCUUAAGCAUAGCACUCUAAACAAGUUAAAUUGACAUCCACUGAUGAAAAUGAUCUGGAGAGUUUAAUAAGGGCAAUUUAUCUUCUCUCGUGACAUAUUCUUAAACUCGCAAUAAUUAUUAUUUUGAUGGAAAACCAUAGUUUGCUUCUUAGCCUGUCAGUUAAAAUGAUAUUCCUUAAUUUGCUUAAUAACUUUAUAGGAAAAGGAUUUAUUGGAUAAAUGUGGCAACUUCUCUCUUGCUGCAACAUUUAUUGGGGUCUAGUUCAGCCCUUUGGGCAGGUUGUCAUUGGUCGAUACAUUUGAGCUAGAUCUGGCAACCCUGGUUCCAUCUGUGCAGGUAACGUUAUCCUAGUUAGCUGGAUAACGGCUUCGACGCUUUCACCAAAUUGUGCCGAAAAAGGGUAAAUUACUGGGAGCUUCAUUGUCUGUUCACAAUGCACAUUAGUAACAUCAGCUGUUAAAAAUACAUUUAAAAAAAAACAAACAGAAUCUGUGGCAUUAUUUAGGAUGCUGAAUACAGAAGAUUAUAUUAUACUAAAUAAAACUAUUUAUUUGAACUGAGCAGAAAGUGUGGUUUCACUUUGUUUUCCCCUCUAAAUUGUGUUCCUUCAACUGGUUUCGACUUCAGAUCCCUGAAUGUUCCAUACUCUACCUGCUAAACUACCAGUCAGGUGAUACUUUUUGUCCAAAAUCCUAACUAUAUUUGUAAGUGCUGUGUCCGGGUCAGUGUUUGAAAGCAGCGACAACGGCCAAAUCAGUGGAAUCUCUCAUUUUGCAACACAUGGUGUGGAAAAGCACAUGAUCAAACUAAGCUUCUGACCUCAUUGAUGAUAGUGACACAUGCUUCCGCACACUGCUCCGAAGUUAGCUGCUUAGCGAUUUCAACGCAUGGCUCGCAGCUCCGGUAUCAUCACUAGCUACCGGUGUCGCCCCCGCCUGAUGUGUACCGGAGUCUAGACUCCUAUCCCGCCUGAUGUGUACCGGAGUCUAGACUCCUAUCCCGCCUGAUGUGUACCGGAGUCUAGACUCCUAUCCCGCCUGAUGUGUACCGGAGUCUAGAC
ensembl:lncRNA